AGUGAACACUGGCGGCGUGCUUAACACAUGCAAGUCGAACGAGAACGGAUUAUAGCUUGCUAUAAUUGUCAGCUAAGUGGCGCACGGGUGAGUAAUGUAUAGGUAAUAUGCCUCUUACUAAGGGAUAACAAAUGGAAACGUUUGCUAAUACCUUAUACUCCUUAUUAACAGAAGUUAAUAAGGGAAAGAUUUAUUGGUAAGAGAUUAGCCUGUAUUGUAUCAGUUAGUUGGUGGGGUAAUGGCUUACCAAGACUAUGACACAUAACUGGUUUGAGAGGAUGAACAGUCACACUGGAACUGAGACACGGUCCAGACUCCUACGGGAGGCAGCAGUGGGGAAUAUUGCACAAUGGACGAAAGUCUGAUGCAGCAGCGCCGCGUGGAGGAUGACACAUUUCGGUGCGUAAACUCCUUUUAUAUGAGAAGAUAAUGACGGUAUUAUAUGAAUAAGCACCAGCUAACUCCGUGCCAGCCGCCGCCGUAA
rnacentral:rRNA from 1 species